rnacentral:sRNA from 1 species
UAUUUAGUAAUACACAAUAUUAUUAAUUAAAUAAAACAUUGGGUUAUCGGUUCGGAACAUAACUGAAUGGUUUGAGUCCAAACUUGGGUUUGGUUUGGGUCGGUUUGAGUUUGGUUAAGUCGAUUUGGUUCGGUUCGGUUUGGUUAAAACGCCCACCUACCUAUAGUGAGAAAAAAAGAUAUUUAUGUUGAUAACUGAAAUGAGAAAUUGUGUCAAAGGAUUUAUGAAGGUUAGUGAAUGUUGCAGCUUUCUUGUAGAUCCAAAUAUAAAACUAGAGAAUGUUUUCAAGAAUCAAGAUUUGUAGCUUUUACAAAAUUUGAACAACUCAAAAACUUCUUGCAUUCUAGCUACAAUAAUUUGAGGGUUUAAGACAGAUUUAGAGCCAUUCAAGAG